rnacentral:rRNA from 1 species
GAUGAACGCUGGCGGCGUGCUUAACACAUGCAAGUCGAACGAGAAGUGAAGACGGAAACCUUCGGGCGGAAGGCUUUAUUUCGAGUGGCGGACGGGUGGGUAACGCGUGGGUAACCUGCCUCAUACAGGGGGAUAACAGUUGGAAACGACUGUUAAUACCGCAUAAGACCACAGCACCGCAUGGUGCGGGGGUAAAAACUCCGGUGGUAUGAGAUGGACCCGCGUUCGAUUAGCCAGUUGGCGGGGUAACGGCCCACCAAAGCGACGAUCGAUAGCCGAUCUGAGAGGAUGACCGGCCACAUUGGGACUGAGACACGGCCCAAACUCCUACGGGAGGCAGCAGUGGGGAAUAUUGCACAAUGGGGGAAACCCUGAUGCAGCGACGCCGCGUGAGUGAAGAAGUAUUUCGGUAUGUAAAGCUCUAUCAGCAGGGAAGAAAAUGACGGUACCUGAGUAAGAAGCCCCGGCUAACUACGUG